UUCCAUACGAUCACUGCAGUUAAGCAACAUUGAGACUGGUUAGUACCUAGAUGGGUGACCACUUGGGAGUACCAGGUGCUGUAAG